rnacentral:lncRNA from 1 species
ACAGGCGUUGCCUCCGCCAGAUCCCCCGCCGCCAUCACUUGCAGGUAACCACCACAUGUUAACUAGGGUUUCUCAACUUCUUCACCUUAGUUGUGGUUUCUAAUUUGGGGGAACACACAGUUUAACAAAGAGAUUGACAAAUUAUUUAGAUCGGUUUCUAAUAUGUGAAAAAAGUUGGAUCUGUUUCUGAUUUGCAGUGCUGGGAGAGAUGAGAUGAAAUGACAUGAGAUGGGAGCCACUAUAUAGAACAACAACAAUGAAGAUAUUUCCAUUGAGAAAAGGUUUUCUAUUUCUUUAUUUUAUUUUAUAUUUUUCAAUUUAAAUAAGAAAAGUCAAAAAACAAAUACCAUGUACACGUCCGUGACAUAUAAAAUGGACAGUGGGCAGCUCUUUAUUG